rnacentral:tRNA from 1 species
UCCCUGGUGGUCCAGUGGGCUAAGACUCUGCCCUCCCAAUACAGGGGUCCCAGGUUCGAUCCCUUGUCAGGGAA